rnacentral:rRNA from 1 species
GUAGGUGGCAAGCGUUGUCCGGAAUUAUUGGGCGUAAAGCGCGCGCAGGCGGUUCUUUAAGUCUGAUGUGAAAGCCCACGGCUCAACCGUGGAGGGUCAUUGGAAACUGGAGAACUUGAGUGCAGAAGAGGAAAGCGGAAUUCCACGUGUAGCGGUGAAAUGCGUAGAGAUGUGGAGGAACACCAGUGGCGAAGGCGGCUUUCUGGUCUGUAACUGACGCUGAGGCGCGAAAGCGUGGGGGAGCAAACAGGAUUAGAUACCCUGGUAGUCCACGCCGUAAACGAUGAGUGCUAAGUGUUAGGGGGUUUCCGCCCCUUAGUGCUGCAGCUAACGCAUUAAGCACUCCGCCUGGGAGUACGACCGCAAGGUUG